rnacentral:sRNA from 1 species
GCUCCCGAAGCCGUUCCCCUGCUGCGGGCGCGUCCUCGGGCCUAGGGAGGGGCGGGUCGCCCUCCUGUCCUGCCCGUGUUAACCAGGGAAGACCCCUGGCCUGGGUAGUAAGCCAGGGGGCGUCAGGAAACGCCCCCUAGAAAGUGGCUCUGAAGUUGACACCCGUCCUACUGCAUGGCAGGACUCAUUCCCGUGAACAUCACUUUGCAGCUGCGUUUAUGUUGCAAUAACUGGAACUACUCUUUUAAGUUUCUUUUGUUUUCUUUAUAUGAAUUCCCGGCAAGUUCGUUUUACUAAAAGCACCAAAGGUUUUCACCAGACAUAACAGCUUCCUGAGGUAUUCCAACUUUAUUAUAUGGACUUGGCUCCUGGUUAUUUGCCAGAGUCACAGAGACUGUGCAUACCAGUUAUGGACCCAUAACAGUUUAUUUUCUCAAUAAAGAAGAUGAAGGUGCCAUGUA